rnacentral:rRNA from 1 species
CUAAACAGCCAUACCACCAUAGCAACACCCAAUUUCAUCUGAUCUUGCAAGCUAAGCAGGUUCAGGUUAUUAGUACAUGGAUACUCCUGGGAAUACUGGUUGCUGGA